rnacentral:misc_RNA from 1 species
CUCUGAGUUCGCGGAGAGUAGGUUAUUGCCAGGGUUUUUAUUUUGUAAUUUAAACCUUAAAUUUAUUUUUUAUAUUUUUUUAAUGUUUAUGUUUUUGAAUGUUUUAUUCAAAUAAUGUAAAAAAUAAAAUAGAUAUUGACAUGGAUUGAACAAAAGAUAUAUAUUAUUUUAUGUUGCAUAAACAAAUUGGCAAAAUAGAGAUGGAAGAUAAAAAUAUGGUCAAAGUAAUAAGAGUCUAUGGUGAAUGCCUAGGAGCUUUAAGGCGAAGAAGGUCGUGGUAAGCUGCGAAAAGCUUGGGGGAGAAGCAAACAUUUAUUGAUCCCAAGAUUACCGAAUGGAGUAAUCCAUACUAGCAAGAUGCUAGUUAUCUAUUAUCUAAAUAAUAGAGGCGAUACCAGGGGAAGUGAACCAUCUAAGUUACCCUGAA